rnacentral:tRNA from 1 species
ACCUGGCUGGCUCAGUCGGAAGAGCACGUGACUCUUGAUCUUGUGGUCAUGAGUUCAAGUCCCACAUUGGGUG